GAGGUUGUGGCUCAAUGGUGGAGCACUUGCCUAGCAUGUGUGAGGUACUGGGUUUGAUCCUCAGCACCACA
rnacentral:tRNA from 1 species